rnacentral:rRNA from 1 species
UACGUAGGGUGCGAGCGUUAAUCGGAAUUACUGGGCGUAAAGCGUGCGCAGGCGGUUCGUUGUGUCUGUGGUGAAAGCCCCGGGCUUAACCUGGGAAUGGCCAUGGAAACUGGCGAGCUGGAGUGUGGCAGAGGGGGGUGGAAUUCCGCGUGUAGCAGUGAAAUGCGUAGAGAUGCGGAGGAACACCGAUGGCGAAGGCAGCCCCCUGGGUUGACACUGACGCUCAGGCGCGAAAGCGUGGGGAGCAAACAGG